rnacentral:rRNA from 1 species
GAUGAACGCUGGCGGCGUGCUUAACACAUGCAAGUCGAACGAUGAAGCCCAGCUUGCUGGGUGGAUUAGUGGCGAACGGGUGAGUAACACGUGAGUAACCUGCCCUUGACUCUGGGAUAAGCGCUGGAAACGGCGUCUAAUACCGGAUACGCGCUUCCACGGCAUGGUGAGUUGCUGGAAAGAAUUGCGGUCAAGGAUGGAUUCGCGGCCUAUCAGGUCGUUGGUGAGGUAUCGGCUCAUUCAGCCGACGACGGGUGGCCAGCCGGAGAGGGUGACCGGCCACACUGGGACUGAGACACGGCCCAGACUCCUACAGGAGGCAGCAGUGGGGAAUAUUGCACAAUGGGCGCAUGCCUGAUGCAGCAACGCCGGGUGUGGGACGAAGGCCUUCGGGUCGUAAACCUCUUUUAGCAGAGAAGAAGCGAAAGUGACGGUACCUGCAGAAAAAGCACCGGCUAACUACGUG